ACACAAUCCAAGCCAGCACCUGUGGAGCAGAGGGACAGGCAUGCCUCUCAGUUUCGUCAAAAGGCAUCACGUGUGUCCGCGGCCACAUUAUCAUCAAGGACCCCUUUGUCAUCUCUCAGUGAAGGGAGCUCCUGAGAGAACCAACACAUUUGAAUCCCUAGAAUUCAUUAAUUCUCCUUAAGGGGAUCAUGGGAGCUGAGCUAAGAGAUUCAGAUGUGCCCUCACAGGUCACAAAUGAUGCACCAUCCCAUAUUCAACUUAGAACAGAAGUUUGGCCUUUUCAGCAAGUAAAU